UAGGGAAUCUUCCACAAUGGACGCAAGUCUGAUGAGCAACGCCGCGUGAGUGAAGAAGGUUUUCGGAUCGUAAAGCUCUGUUGUUGGUGAAGAAGGAUAGAGGCAGUAACUGGUCUUUAUUUGACGGUAAUCAACCAGAAAGUCACGGCUAACUACGUGCCAGCAGCCGCGGUAAUACGUAGGUGGCAAGCGUUGUCCGGAUUUAUUGGGCGUAAAGCGAGCGCAGGCGGAAUGAUAAGUCUGAUGUGAAAGCCCUACGGC
rnacentral:rRNA from 1 species